GUCCACGCUGUAAACGAUGAAUACUAGGUAUUGGAGGAUUUGACCCCUUCAGUGCCGUAGCUAACGCGUUAAGUAUUCCGCCUGGGAAGUACGGUCGCAAGACUAAAACUCAAAGGAAUUGACGGGGCCCGCACAAGCGGUGGAUUAUGUGGUUUAAUUCGAAGCAACGCGCAGAACCUUACCAAGGCUUGAAAUCCCACGAACCUGCUUUAAACGGCGGGGUGCUCUUCGGAGAAUGUGGUGACAGGCGCUGCAUGGCUGUCGU
rnacentral:rRNA from 1 species